AAAGUAAGAUGCGCUGCAAUUUUCGAAAUUGAUGACACCGCAUCCUUCAAAGUUGGCGCCAUUUGCAAUAGCGAUACCAUCAGGACAGCAACCAAGUGACUUCUUCCUCACAACCUUACCACACAUACAUAUGUUAUUGCUUAAAAGAUAUGUAUAAUAAACUCGAUAAAAAAGACCAGAAGCGGCUUUAAUAUCACCUGGGCAACAACCAAACUCGGUGACAUUACAACAUCCCAAAUAAGCCUUUCCACUAGCUGCAG